GGCUCGUUGGUCUAGGGGUAUGAUUCUCGCUUAGGGUAUGAGAGGUCCAGGGUUCAAAUCCCAGACGAGCCC
rfam:Danio rerio unplaced genomic contig CTG2934, GRCz11 reference primary assembly.